CAACUUGAGAGUUUGAUCCUGGCUCAGAACGAACGCUGGCGGCAGGCUUAACACAUGCAAGUCGAACGCCCCGCAAGGGGAGUGGCAGACGGGUGAGUAACGCGUGGGAACAUACCCUUCGGUUCGGAAUAACUCAGGGAAACUUGAGCUAAUACCGGAUACGUCCGAGAGGAGAAAGGUUUACUGCCGGAGGAGCGGCCCGCGUCCGAUUAGCUAGUUGGUGAGGUAAUGGCUCACCAAGGCGACGAUCGGUAGCUGGUCUGAGAGGAUGGCCAGCCACACUGGGACUGAGACACGGCCCAGACUCCUACGGGAGGCAGCAGUGGGGAAUAUUGGACAAUGGGCGCAAGCCUGAUCCAGCCAUGUCGCGUGAGUGACGAAGGCCUUAGGGUUGUAAAGCUCUUUUGGCGGGGAAGAUAAUGACGGUACCCGCAGAAUAAGCUCCGGCUAACUUCGUGCCAGCAGCCGCGGUAAUACGAAGGGAGCUAGCGUUGUUCGGAAUCACUGGGCGUAAAGCGCACGUAGGC
rnacentral:rRNA from 1 species